UGUUAGCACACAAGCUUCCAAACGGUAUAAAAAUGAUGGGCAGUGUAACGAAAGUAUUAACAAUAUUUUAGAAAAUGUACAGUUUGUGGCAUUGUGCUAGGGAAACAUUAUCUGUGUUGGCCCGUGGAUAAAUGAUGAAAUUCUUAUGGCUCAUUUGUCUCCCUAUUGAUUGGGAAGAUAGAAUGUGUUUCUGAGGAAAUUUAUAAACAAAGGCAAUUUCUUGAUUUGGAUUUUCAGUGAGUACCAGGGUGAUCAUACAACCUUUAUCACUUAGCAUUGUGCACUGGAGACAUAUACUUUGAUGCCGUGGGAAAUAAUGGAUGUGAAAAACUGUGUUUUCUUAGAAAACAUCUUGAAUAGCAUGAGCAAUACACAUUCUGUGAUCACCAUCUGCUAAUAUGUACUCAUAGGACUUUUCACUCUCAGAAUCACUCCUGGCUUUUCCUUGAGCACUGUCUCAUCGGAGCCCAGCAGAGGUUCUGCCUAGGUAUUCUAUUAGCAUUUAUUGUAACCAGUGUGUAGAAAACACAAAUGACUAAAGUCAUUGGUUUUAAAGCCCUCUUCACAAUUGAAUUUCCUGUGGAGAAGCAAUAUCCCAGGAGCAUAAUAGAUUUUUCCCUCUUCUUCCAUUUAUGCAGAUACUUUCACAAUGAACUAACUAAUCAGUUGCAGUUUCUAAUCUAUAUUUCUGAUUUGUUUACAUGCACCAUGCAGGCUGGCAAUCUUUUGAAUUUAAAUGUGACUUAAAGUAAAAUAAAAGAAACCACAAGUAAAUGACACAGAAUUGCUAACAGUAGGAGCCUUGUUUACAUUCCACAUUCUGAAAAUAUUUUGUUCAGCUGGCUAGGAAAACCACAUGGUUGAGACAGACUGGGUGAUGAUUUGGUUGAUUGCCUGGCUGAGGCCGACAUGGAAAAAGGGAUGGCAUGUGGUAUGGCUGUCUGUCACCUCAAACCCAGAGAAAGAACACAUUUUCAGCACACAUGUGACGAGUGUUGAACAGCAGAGCUCUGAUGAUCCCAGCCAGAGCAUCGUGUGCCCCUGGCAUGGAGCCAGAGCAAUCCGCCAGCCUCGAGGAGUCCUCUGGUGCAGGGCAGAAAAUUAGUUACAGGUUGUGUCCCUGAGAUUAGAGGCAGCCCGACGCCCCGGCGCCCUCAGAAGCGCCCUUCUCCGCCAUCCCUCUGCCCGUGCUCUCCUCGGCCAGCUCCUACCUUGGCUCUCUGAACCCCGCGGCCGGGCUUCACAGCACCACCCUGCUUUGCUGUUCUCCGAGGAGUCCUGCGGGCCAGGGGCUGGGUGCAAAGCCUCCAG
ensembl:lncRNA